GACAGAGGGUGCAAACGUUGUUCGGAUUCAUUGGGCGUAAAGGGUGCGUAGGCGGCGCGGUAAGUCGGGUGUGAAAUUUCGGAGCUUAACUCCGAAACUGCAUUUGAUACUGCGGUGCUUGAGGACUGGAGAGGAGACUGGAAUUUACGGUGUAGCAGUGAAAUGCGUAGAGAUCGUAAGGAAGACCAGUGGCGAAGGCGGGUCUCUGGACAGUUCCUGACACUGAGGCACGAAGGCCAGGGGAGCAAACGGG
rnacentral:rRNA from 1 species